rfam:Lachnospiraceae bacterium 28-4 genomic scaffold acPFn-supercont1.3, whole genome shotgun sequence.
CCGUGCAGCCGGGGCGUUAGCGGUGUCCUGUACCUACAAUCCGCUUUAGUAGGGGUGAUGUUCUGUCGCGGGCUUUUAUUUGGUAUAGCUGCCCUUUAUAAGUGGCGUUGAAGUUUGGGUCUUACGCAAUGGGAAUCUGCGAACCGUGUCAGGUUGGGAACAAAGCAGCACUAAGCGGAAUCUUCCAUGUGCCGUAAGGGUGCCUGGCGGAGUUAACUGUAAAGGUAACGUAUAUUGAUGCGGCUCAAUACAGAACGCACGG